CCACUAUGAUGAAGAUAUAACAUGUUGCAAGUGUAAUGUACACCAGUGUUAGAACCAGCAAUGGUUGAACCCACUGACACUGACAUUACGCUAAGAACAAUAACUCUCCCAAUAGGGAUGUCUGAGUGGG
rnacentral:snoRNA from 1 species